GCGGAGCUUACCAUGCAGUCGAGCGGAUGAAGUAGCUUGCUACUGGAUUCAGCGGCGGACGGGUGAGUAAUGCUUAGGAAUCUGCCUAUUAGUGGGGGACAACAUCUCGAAAGGGAUGCUAAUACCGCAUACGUCCUACGGGAGAAAGCAGGGGAUCUUCGGACCUUGCGCUAAUAGAUGAGCCUAAGUCGGAUUAGCUAGUUGGUGGGGUAAAGGCCUACCAAGGCGACGAUCUGUAGCGGGUCUGAGAGGAUGAUCCGCCACACUGGGACUGAGACACGGCCCAGACUCCUACGGGAGGCAGCAGUGGGGAAUAUUGGACAAUGGGGGGAACCCUGAUCCAGCCAUGCCGCGUGUGUGAAGAAGGCCUUUUGGUUGUAAAGCACUUUAAGCGAGGAGGAGGCUACUCUAGUUAAUACCUAGAGAUAGUGGACGUUACUCGCAGAAUAAGCACCGGCUAACUCUGUGCCAGCCGCCGCGGUAAUACGUCGUGACUGGGAAACCCCCUGGCGA
rnacentral:rRNA from 1 species